rnacentral:rRNA from 1 species
CGCCCGGUUCCAUUCCGAACCCGGUAGCUAAGCCCAGUUGCGCCGAUGGUACUGCACUCGGGAGGGUGUGGGAGAGUAGGACGCCGCCGAAC